UACGUAGGAGGCAAGCGUUGUCCGGAAUCAUUGGGCGUAAAGAGCGUGUAGGCGGCCAGAAAAGUCCGCUGUGAAAACUCGAGGCUCAACUUCGAGCUGUCGGUGGAAACUUUCUGGCUAGAGUCCGGAAGAGGAGAAUGGAAUUCCUGGUGUAGCGGUGAAAUGCGCAGAUAUCAGGAAGAACACCCGUGGCGAAGGCGGUUCUCUGGGACGGUACUGACGCUGAGACGCGAAAGCGUGGGGAGCGAACAGG
rnacentral:rRNA from 1 species